GAUGAACGCUGGCGGCGUGCCUAAUACAUGCAAGUCGAGCGAACGGACGAGGAGCUUGCUUCUCUGAUGUUAGCGGCGGACGGGUGAGUAACACGUGGAUAACCUACCUAUAAGACUGGGAUAACUUCGGGAAACCGGAGCUAAUACCGGAUAAUAUUUUGAACCGCAUGGUUCAAUAGUGAAAGACGGUCUUGCUGUCACUUAUAGAUGGAUCCACGCUGCAUUAGCUAGUUGGUAAGGUAACGGCUUACCAAGGCAACGAUGCAUAGCCGACCUGAGAGGGUGAUCGGCCACACUGGAACUGAGACACGGUCCAGACUCCUACGGGAGGCAGCAGUAGGGAAUCUUCCGCAAUGGGCGAAAGCCUGACGGAGCAACGCCGCGUGAGUGAUGAAGGUCUUCGGAUCGUAAAACUCUGUUAUUAGGGAAGAACAUAUGUGUAAGUAACUGUGCACAUCUUGACGGUACCUAAUCAGAAAGCCACGGCUAACUACGUG
rnacentral:rRNA from 1 species